GUAAACUGAAAUGAGAUGCCUUUACCUUUCCACUGUGAUAACUACAGCAGACGUGCCAUGCUAAGUAAUAAGUGUUGGUCCUGGGGCUUUUUCUUACAAUGAAAUGUGUUAGCCAUGCUGAAUCGUGCAGGUCUCCCUUUGCAAUAUCACCAUUCUCGAAUGUGUGAUAUAUCAAAGAUGAUCAGCUGAAGAAUGAUUUAACAAAUCAGCAACGGCCAGAGAGAAUGACUGAAUACAUUUUCAUGUAUGAUACAGAGCAGACUGUUUGAAGAGGCAAAAAAUCCCUUCCAGUGUUGUUUCCUGCAAAGACCAUUCUUAAGAGCCUGUUGGACAGCGCGGGGCUCUUGACGUGAUAGCUAAUUGGUGAAAGAAAGGCCCUGAUUGUCUUGAGGGAACUGGAAAGUGCUGCGUGUGCUGCUGAAAGAGCCUAGGGAGAAGGUGCCCGGUUUCGCUGAGCAGCUGCUGCUGGAGAUGUUUGGAGAUUACAUCAGCAUUGGAAAAAAGGGGCAAAAAAAAAAAAGUCCAACUUCACAGAGAUGGAGUUUAUGGAGAUUUUUUUCCUUCCAAAGGUCUUCUGACAAUACUGUCAUUGUCAAUAUAAGAGUUGUUAAUUCUUUAUGAAUAGCACAUGGGGCCUCUUGACUAAAUAGUACGUUACAUGUCCCAAAUCUGUCAGCUGGACUCUUCUCUCACAUGCUAGUGAGAUCACUUUGAUUGGAAUGUAACAGGAAUUGCUGGGCUAGCCACACAGCACUGAAUACUGCAUUAUAUAAUUAGAUCUCCCAGAGUAUUUUUUUCACAUUACUUCAUUAUUUUAAUUUAAAUAUGGAAUCCAGCCUUUUGCUGAUUUUAGUGGUUAUAAUUAUAUUAAUACGAUUCAUUUUAUGGUCCUGUCUCAGUGCUUAUUUAGAUUAUAAACUGUCCCGAAGAUUUCCUGACAAGACAGAAAAGGAAUAGGGCUCUCAAAAGGGCUUGAAUACAUUUGAAUUGACAAUGGAGAGGACUGGACAGUUUAACAAAACGGAACUAGAUUUUACCUUUAGGAUCAAAGGUGGCUCUUUCCCUGGCUGGAAUGACCUUGUCUAGACAAGAGUUCAGUGAGGAUUUUUCAGGAGAUCUCACACUUACAGAGGGAAAAACUAACUCAACUGACUUCUUAUCGAAGUAGGUCAUGAAGUUGCAUCUGGAACAGGCUUGUGGACGUUUGCCAAUUAAAUGAUCUGGAUGGGCUGAAAGAAAUCCUAUUGUUGAGCAGCCCAAGGCAACCAAUGCCGUAUAUUAAUAAGUGAAAUGUAAUGGCUUGCUGCCUGCUGGCUGAGCUGCUGAUCUGCUCUUAAAAAUGCCAGCUGCAAUGAUAGCCUGCAUGCAACAACUGACCAGUGUCUGGAUGAAUAUGAAGACUAGCCUCCCACCUCAGCAUCCAUGCGUAUGUGACUGAACAGCAGAAGUAACAGGUUUACCUGCCUCGUUCACUCAUUGCUGAGUUCCUUUUCUAGCUCCUCCGAUUCAACUGUGCCCAGAGCUGGUUGAAUGAAAAUGUUAUUUGAUGAAUGUUGCCAUUAGUCAUCAAAUGACUUAUCUGAAUAAUAAAGCAAGCUGAAUACCACCACCAAGUUAGUAACUUGAAUAACCUAUCCAGUGGAAAUCAUCACUACACAUCCAACAGGUGUAGGCCAACUCCAGCAAGCACAGCCAGGCUGGCAACUGGGCAUUUAAAAUAUGCGACACUUCAUAUCUUCAAAGCACUGUGCACAGAGUUUAUUAAUCUCCAUGACACCUCCAUGAAGUAGGUUAGUUUUCCAAUAUUUAAAAUGCAGAUAAUGGACACAACAGAAUUAAAUUACUUGACUAAGAUCACUUGGUAAAUCAGUGGCCCAGUCAGGACUGAAACCCCAGAUUUUCCUGCUUAAGCUUGACUCAAUAUGAAAAGUGAGAUGGGAGACUGGAUUUUAUUUUCAACCUCCAAUUGGAUUUUGCACUUAGUCAGGACAUCUAGGAUUUUGAAAGAGACAAGGUGGAUGGACAAACAUCUGGACCAACUUCUAUUGGACCAACUUCUGUUGGUGAGAAAGAGAAACUUUUGAGCCACACAGAGUUCUUCUUCAAGUCUGGGCUUCUCAGUUUCUCUGAAGUCCAUCUGCAGAGUGGUUUAGCAUACUUGGAAUUAUAUGGAGUGGUCAGAGGCUUCUAGAUGGUGAGACCUCUGGGGAUGAUGAUUUAUUUAUUGCAUUUGCUCCAGAAGUAGAUGUUGCUGUUAAGUUUUGCUUCCUUUUUCUUCAUGUUGUGGAGUUUCCAUUUCAGAUGGCAAAAUUUGAUCUCGUCCAUUGUAGUAUGCAGUGUUGUUGAAGCUGUGUUGAUCCCAGGAUAUUAGUAAAUCAGUGGCCCAGCCAGGACUGAAACCCCAGAUUUUCCUGGUUAUUAUUGUUAAAGGCAGUUUAGUCUUUCUUUGGGAAAGAGUGUAUCACAACUUAAUCCAAAUCAACAUAUCUAUAUUUUUCUACAGUAAAAUUAGGAAAACAGUAUUUUCCCAUGUGAGAACCUAAAAUGCAGAUUGUCCUUGGCAAGGUCACCUUAAUAAAAAAUAAUAAUCCUGGGUUGGUUCAUUAUGGUAAAUAAAAGUGGAUGCUGCCACUUCACAGACUGACUUCCAUAUCUCUUGAUGGCUCUUAUGAUGAUAUCAGAGUUCAGCCUAGGUAAAACCAUAGUACACCCAUAAAGAAUAUCUUUCACCCUCGUAUAACUUACAUUACCAUCACAGGCUGUGUCAUCAGUAACCACUAAUCAGCAACUUUCAUUUGUUGUCUUUUGAGACCUCCUAUAAUGCAGACCCAGGAGACAGUCCUUCCCCUACAAUGUGAUGGAAAAAGGAAAUGCCAAGUCAAUUGGCUUCAUAGUUCAUGCUCACAUUCUGUUCUAUUGCUGGUGGGUGACCAAUCUGAGAAAUAGAGUCCCUGCUAUUUAAAGACACAUUGUCAACCUGAAAUCUAGUCAGUGAAAAACAAAUUAAAAGUAGUUUCUACACCUACCCAAGUACCCCUGCCCAUUUUUGUGGUUCCUAUUUUUUGCAAUAUUUCUCUCCUUUCUUGUUGUGUGAAGAAACUACACUAGCAACUAGUGAAACCUACUGACUGACCAUAGAGAGAAACAGUGAAACUGACUAUACACAAUGUGCUGACGUACAGACAAAGAAAGUUAACGGAAGAAAAUACAUAAGUCCAUAUUAUUAUUUUUAUUUCAGCUACAGUGAUCUCAGGUGUUAUCUAUAACAAAAGGAGGUUAAAAAAUGUUUCGAUAGAAGUGACUUUUUUUUUUAAGUGAGGAUAUCUGUUUUAAAAAUGAGGCUUCAUCUAAUUUAAUGUCCUAUACUUUUUCAAUUAUUUUAACUAUUUAAUUGAUCUUUUAGGACUGUGGUUACAUAUCUUUUAAAAUUAAUCACUUAAACUAUCAAUUUAAUGGAAGGUUUUGUGAUGGAGCUUUUAGAUUAAUGCCUGUGAUAUUUGUUAAUAUGGGAAAAAAGUCAGCUUGUGGGAUUGACAUGAUGGGGCCAGAUUCUGAUAUCUUUACUGCCAUUGGAUAGCACCUUACUCCACAAAUAAUCAAUUGACUUCAGUGAGUCUAGUUUUGAUGUAUGGGACUAUAUCACAUGAAUAGGACUAUCCGUCUGGUUAUGGACUUUAUGCCAACACAGGCAAAACUCUCACUGACUUCUGUGGACCGGUGUAAAUACAUAGGGUCACCAGGAUGUUGUUAGAUUAGAAUGUUAUAAUGCAUAAUCAUUCUCUUCAAUGACCUUUGACGAAAGAGUUGUGGGUGAAUUUAUUGAUUGGCAGAAGGUGUGGAUGGCGGGUUUCCACAUUCUACAGGACUACUGUCCCCAAAUUGUUCAGCUCAGUGGAAUGUAGCCCAUAGCCUGAGGCAGUGAUGGUGGCCUGGCUGCAGAGGUGCUCCUCUGCUAAAUCCUUUUAUUUGGGCUUUGCAUGGGUGACGUGAAUUUUACUCCCAUUAAAAACAUGCUGCAGUCAGUGUUUGGCACUAUCCUGCUCUGCAUCCUUCCAUGCUGAAUCUGCCCAUUGACUUUAUGCAACAUUGCUACAGAGCUUAGUAGAGACUGAUCACCUUGUUAUAGUUUUUGGCCUCCUAAAGAAUUGGAUAAAGAAUUAUACACAACUACAGAAUUCUACAAGCUGUUUCAAAAAUACUAUAGAAAGGGUCUUAUUCUCUAUUAAAUUCUCUAGGUGUUUAGAGUAAUUUAAAUAGAAUCCUAUUCAGUUUCUAUGGAACCUUAUUGGUUUCAUCCCCAGAGAAUUCUAUAGGACCUUUCUAUAGGGACAGACAUCUCAUUUAUACAGUCACUGUGAAACUGUGACUACCAUCACACUAUGGGUGUUCAAAGUGAUCAGGGAACCAUGAUCUCCCCCACAUUCUCCUUCCCAGCAUAGGGUGACCAGAUGUCCUGAUUUUAUAGGGACAAUCCCGAUUUUUGAGUCUUUUUCUUAGAUGGGCUCCUAUUACCCCCCCACCCCCAUCCCGAUUUUUCACAUUUGCUGUCUGGUCACCCUAUCCCAGCAACACACUCACUCUCUUUGUGCACCAAGAUAAGCAGUAACCACAGUCUAGGCCUUUGGACUUCUGUUUUGGUAGGACUGAAGUUGUCCAGUGAUGACAGUCAUGCUGACCAACCCAAAGGAGGUGAGAUGUGUCAGGGCAAUGGUCUUGACUGCUGUACCACCUUGGUCAAGGGAGCAGAGCUGGUCCAUUUGGGAGCACUCUUUUUAAAAGGCAAUUUCAUCUCUCAUUCUGGUAUAUGCUCCCCUGAUUGGCUCAUUCAGGGUGCCUCAUGGAACUUGCACUAGUACACAGCCCCUCUGCAUCUGCCUAUUCUCAAAAGUGGGCUCUGCUGUAGAAGCCAGAAUAAAUUGUUCAAUUAAUUUUGGAGGGGCUUUUUCUAUGUAUUGUUAAGUGUUACUCUUUUAAGGGCCAGAUUCUGACGCCCAUACUCAUGUUUGGUAGCAUCUUCCUCUCAAGUAGUCCUAUUGAAGUCAACAAGACUAUUCAAGGCAGAAGCUAACACCAGUGUGUAGCAGCAUCUGGCCUUAUAUUAAUUUUUGCUCCCUUUGAGAUAUGGAGAAAGGACCUAAUCCUUUGAACUGCUGAGUGGCCUCAGGUGCUGUUAAAGUUGGUGGGAACUUAGGAUGCUCAACACCUUGCAGAAUUAUGCCAAAAAGUAUCUGAAAUUCUGAUUUACUCAAUGAGAAGAAUUAUAAAAAGCUUAAGUAAUUCAUCUU